rnacentral:rRNA from 1 species
AUUGUACGCUGGCGGCAGGCUUAACACAUGCAAGUCGAGCGGAGAUGAGGUGCUUGCACCUUAUCUUAGCGGCGGACGGGUGAGUAAUGCUUAGGAAUCUGCCUAUUAGUGGGGGAUAACGUUCGGAAACGGACGCUAAUACCGCAUACGUCCUACGGGAGAAAGUGGGGGAUCUUCGGACCUUACGCUAUCAGAUGAGCCUAGGUCGGAUUAGCUAGUUGGUGGGGUAAAGGCUCACCAAGGCGACGAUCCGUAACUGGUCUGAGAGGAUGAUCAGUCACACUGGAACUGAGACACGGUCCAGACUCCUACGGGAGGCAGCAGUGGGGAAUAUUGGACAAUGGGCGAAAGCCUGAUCCAGCCAUGCCGCGUGUGUGAAGAAGGUCUUCGGAUUGUAAAGCACUUUAAGUUGGGAGGAAGGGCAGUCAGUUAAUACCUGGUUGUUUUGACGUUACCAACAGAAUAAGCACCGGCUAACUUCGUGCCAGCCGCCGCAGUAAUAC